rnacentral:rRNA from 1 species
GUUUGAUCCUGGCGUCAGGAUGAACGCUAGCGGGCAGGGCUUAACACAUGCAAGUCGAGGGGCAGCGUGGAGUAGCAAUACUCCGACGGCGACCGGCGAAAGGGUGAGUAACGCGUGAGCAACGUGCCCGGUAUUGGGGGAUAGUCGAUGGAAACGUCGCGUAAUACCCCAUAACAACAGAGGCCGCAUGACUUCUGUUUGAAAGAUUCAUUGAUACCGGAUCGGCUCGCGUACCAUUAGCUAGAUGGCGGGUAACGGCCCACCAUGGCGACGAUGGUUAGGGGUUCUGAGAGGAAGGUCCCCCACAUUGGAACUGAGACACGGUCCAGACUCCUACGGGAGGCAGCAGUGAGGAAUAUUGGUCAAUGGCCGAGAGGCUGAACCAGCCAUGCCGCGUGCGGGAGGACGGCCCUAUGGGUUGUAAACCGCUUUUGUAGGGGAGCAAUAAGUAUUACGUGUAAUACGAUGAGAGUACCCUGCGAAUAAGCAUCGGCUAACUCCGUGCC